GCAGUCGGACGGGAUCCGUCGGAGAGCUUGCUCGAAGACGGUGAGAGUGGCGCACGGGUGCGUAACGCGUGAGCAACCUACCUCUAUCAGGGGGAUAGCCUCUCGAAAGAGAGAUUAACACCGCAUAACAUAUGUGACCGGCAUCGGUUGGAUAUUAAAUAUUUAUAGGAUAGAGAUGGGCUCGCGUGACAUUAGCUAGUUGGUAGGGUAACGGCUUACCAAGGCGACGAUGUCUAGGGGCUCUGAGAGGAGAAUCCCCCACACUGGUACUGAGACACGGACCAGACUCCUACGGGAGGCAGCAGUAAGGAAUAUUGGUCAAUGGGCGGAAGCCUGAACCAGCCAUGCCGCGUGCAGGAUGACUGCCCUAUGGGUUGUAAACUGCUUUUGUCCAGGAAUAAACCUUUCUACGUGUAGGAAGCUGAAUGUACUGGAAGAAUAAGGAUCGGCUAACUCCGUGCCAGCAGCCGCGGUAAUACGGAGGAUCCGAGCGUUAUCCGGAUUUAUUGGGUUUAAAGGGUGCGUAGGCGGCCUAUUAAGUCAGGGGUGAAAUACGGUGGCUCAACCAUCGCAGUGCCUUUGAUACUGA
rnacentral:rRNA from 2 species